rnacentral:lncRNA from 1 species
GGUACUCUUGCCUCCCUCGUACACCUGCAUCAACUCGCACAUUCCUAACAGCAGAUAAGCUCUAGCCAGAUGUCCACCUGCACUUCCCUCGGGAUUCUGGCAGUCUUCAAUUCUUUUCAAGAACUUCCCUUCUAACUCCACUAUACCUCGCUCCAGAUAUCCCAAAUGGUUGUUGGCGUUGACAGCCAUAUCCUUCCACUCGUUGAUCAUCUUCUCGUGGGAUUUCUGUAUUUCUCGAUGUUCAUUCUCACAUUCUCGCAUCAUAUUGUACAGUUGAUUGUAGUAGACUUAUGCUUCAGUUUUCUCAUCAAUAACCCUAUGACCGUGGACGAAUCCUGGACGACCUAAACCAAUGUGAUCAUCUUCCAACCAAACUGUGUAGUGCGGUACACACCUGACAUGAUACCUGUCUGGUUCAAUAGACUCUUUCCCAAAGACGAGCUUGUAGUGCCACAUAUCUUGAGCAUGAUAUCUGUGCGGACUAUCAUCAUCUUGAAAGCCAGCCUUGAAAUGACUCAUUUUCUCUAUCCUGGGUAUGAUUUGUUUUCUUCCAGUUUAUCUCAUGGACCGGAGAGGGACAUAAGGAUGAGUUCCCCUAAGACCAAUGAGUAUGAGGAAUGGUGCAUCUCGAGAACGGCAAUGAACUCCCCUAUUAGGAACCACUCGAACAUCCACUGAACUUGCUCUUUUAGAUUUUCAAACAACUCUACCCACCCACUGGCGUCUAUGGCUGAGCGAACAUGUUGGGCAUGAAGUUCAUUCGCUUUGGGUGAUAGAAAGAGAUAUGGUCAUCCCAAUUCCUACCGAUGAUUUCCUAUCUGUAGUUGCCUUUCUAAAGGUGUUCUAUGAGCCAAAGUUGAAGUAGCAUAUUACAACCCUUGAAAUGCAGAGCCCCUUGCUGACACUAUCCCAAGGCUCGAUAGAUUUCAGCGAUGAUCAUAGGCACUAUGCUGAAAGACUGGUUGUCAAUACCCUCUAUUAAGGUCUUGGUGAUCAUGGCUAGUCUGGUGUGGAUCCUACCCUUCUUCAUGGGAAAAAUUACCAAUCCCAAGAAGCAAAACAUGAACACAAAGACCCUCCUAUGUAUGUACCCCAAAGAGGUGAGGGCAAACUCAUCAGUGUAAGUGCGAUAAGACUUGUUCUGGCCAUAUCUCUCGUACAACAAGUCAAAUGUUUUGUAGGAGUCCUUCAAGCAAGCUAUGUCGGGAUUCUUCUUGAGUCCCAUCAUCUAAAGAAAGCCUCUACUUUUGCAGUUUUCCGGCAUAAGCAAACCCAGAGUCUCCCAAAGGAUACCAGCUAGACCCACUAUCUCUUCUAGUAAAGGGGUCAUUUCCAAACCUCUGAAGCGGAACACCGAUCGAUCACUAUCCCAAAACAGAGUGACAGCCUCUAUGAUCUUGUUGUUAGGCUGGAUUUCCAGAAGUGAGGGCAAAUUUCCUAAGUACUUGCGGACGAGGGUUUGCUCACUGGCAUGAAGAUCUUCCCACUAGCUUAACAACCUUGGGUGAAUGUUUGAUACCAUACUG